UACGAAGGGGGCUAGCGUUGUUCGGAAUCACUGGGCUUACAGGGUGCGUAGGUGGCUUGUUAAGCAGGGUGUGAAAUCCCACGGCUCAACCGUGGAACAGCGCUCUGAACUGGCGAGCUAGAGUAUGCUAGAGGUGCAUGGAACAUCUAGUGGAGCGGUGAAAUGUGUUGAUAUUAGAUGGAACACCGGAGGCGAAAGCGAUGCACUGGGGCAUAACUGACACUGAGGCACGAAAGCCAGGGGAGCAAACGGG
rnacentral:rRNA from 1 species